rnacentral:ncRNA from 1 species
CCGGCUCCGGUUCACCUCGUGCAGAAGAGGACCCGGCGGCC